UAGCUCAGUUGGUAAAGAAUCUGCCUGCAAUGCAGGAGAUCCUGGUUCAAUUCCUGG
rfam:Ovis aries breed Texel chromosome 11, whole genome shotgun sequence.